UACGGGGGGGGUAAGCGUUGUCCGGAAUUAUUGGGCGUAAAGGGCUCGUAGGCGGUCCGUCACGUCGGGAGUGAAAACUCAGGGCUCAACCCUGAGCGUGCUUCCGAUACGGGCAGACUUGAGUUCGGUAGGGGAGACUGGAAUUCCUGGUGUAGCGGUGAAAUGCGCAGAUAUCAGGAGGAACACCGGUGGCGAAGGCGGGUCUCUGGGCCGAUACUGACGCUGAGGAGCGAAAGCGUGGGGAGCGAACAGG
rnacentral:rRNA from 1 species